rnacentral:rRNA from 1 species
AGAGUUUGAUCCUGGCUCAGGAUGAACGCUAGCGGCAGGCUUAACACAUGCAAGUCGAGGGGCAUCGCGGGGUAGCAAUACCCUGGCGGCGACCGGCGGAAGGGUGCGUAACGCGUGAGCGACAUGCCUGUCACAGGGGGAUAACCGGCGGAAACGCCGCCUAAUACCCCAUAUGAGGCCAGGCCACAUGGCCGGGCCUUGAAAGUCAAGGCGGUGACGGAUUGGCUCGCGUCCGAUUAGCCAGUUGGCGGGGCAACGGCCCACCAAGGCGACGAUCGGUAGGGGUUCUGAGAGGAAGGCCCCCCACAAUGGAACUGAGACACGGUCCAUACUCCUACGGGAGGCAGCAGUGAGGAAUAUUGGUCAAUGGGCGGAAGCCUGAACCAGCCAUGCCGCGUGCAGGAAUGAGGCCCUACGGGUCGUGAACUGCUUUUCGCGCGGAGCAAUAAGGGGGGUUCGCCCCUCCGAUGAGAGUACGCGCGGAAUAAGCAUCGGCUAACUCCGUGCCAGCAGCCGCGGUAAUACGGAGGAUGCGAGCGUUAUCCGGAUUCAUUGGGUAUAAAGGGUGCGUAGGCGGCCCCCCAAGUCAGCGGUGAAAUGUCCGGGCCCAACCCGGAGGGUGCCGUUGAUACUGGGGGGCUGGAGUACGGACGCCGGCGGAGGAAUGAGUGGUGUAGCGGUGAAAUGCAUAGAUAUCACUCAGAACACCGAUUGCGAAGGCAUCCGCCGAGGCCGUUACUGACGCUGAGGCACGAAAGCGUGGGGAUAGAACAGGAUUAGAUACCCUGGUAUUCCACGCCGUAAACGAUGAUGACUAACCGCCGGGCGGAGUGACGUCCGGCAGCCAAGCGAAAGCGAUAAGUCAUCCACCUGGGGAGUACGGCCGCAAGGCUGAAACUCAAAGGAAUUGACGGGGGCCCGCACAAGCGGAGGAACAUGUGGUUUAAUUCGAUGAUACGCGAGGAACCUUACCCGGGCUCGAACGGCGCGCGAAGCGGGCGGAGACGCCCUCGCCCCUCGGGGCGCGCGCCGAGGUGCUGCAUGGUUGUCGUCAGCUCGUGCCGUGAGGUGUCGGCUCAAGUGCCAUAACGAGCGCAACCCCUGCCGCCAGUUGCCAACAGGCAAAGCUGGGGACUCUGGCGGGACUGCCACCGCAAGGUGCGAGGAGGGGGGGGAUGACGUCAAAUCAGCACGGCCCUUACGUCCGGGGCGACACACGUGUUACAAUGGCGGCCACAGAGGGAAGCCACCCCGCGAGGGGGCGCGGAUCCGAAAAAGCCGCCUCAGUUCGGACUGGAGUCUGCAACCCGACUCCACGAAGCUGGAUUCGCUAGUAAUCGCGCAUCAGCCAUGGCGCGGUGAAUACGUUCCCGGGCCUUGUACACACCGCCCGUCAAGCCAUGGGAGCCGGGAAUGCCCGAAGUCAGUGGCCCAACCGCAAGGAGGGAGCUGCCGAAGGCAGGUCUGAUAACUGGGGUGAAGUCGUAACAAGGUAGCCGUAGGAGAACCUGCGGCUGGAUCACCUCCUU